rnacentral:tRNA from 1 species
GGCAACAUGCCAGAGUGGUUAAUGGGUAUGCCUCGAACGUCGCUGUAGGAUGAUUUGGAUUCCUGCUCCGAGAGGAAGCAUAUGUCUUCGGACGCGCAGGUUCGAAUCCUGCUGUUGUCG